UUAAUUGCAACACAUUGAGGCUCCUUAUUGAAAAAUAUUAGCAAUUCAACGUAAAUUAAUUAUCAAUCUCCAGCAUAAGGGAUGAAAUAAAACACAAACCAUGUCAAAUAAUUAUAUAUUUUAAUAUAAUAUAGGUAUGAACAAUAUCAUUUCUCCCCAUUUCAGAUCAAUGAACUUAAAUGCCUAAUAUACAUAUGCUGUGAGUCACAAUUUGCACAAUGCACCAACAUGCUAUAACAAAAUUUGAUUAUAAACGUUGCUGCUAUAACUCUUCAACUUCUGAGACCAGUUCAACUUUGAACUUGCGCCAAUCAAAAUUGAUAAACCAAAGGAAGCUUAUAUAACCAUGAGAAGACCAAAGUGUUUGCUUCUAUCUUCAGUUCUCCAGUUACCACUUCACCGGAGGAUGCUCCGUCUGAAGUAUUUAAGAAAGUAACUUGUAAAAAGGUUAUCCAGAAAGAAUAAGCUAAUCGAGCGCAGUCUUGAAAGUAUUUAAGAAAGGAACUUGUAAAAAGGUUAUGUAGAAAGAAUAAGCUAAUCGACCGCAGUCUUGUUUCUUCGACCUGUAAUUGGUUUAGGUAAGCCAUCAAAGAUUGGCUUAGCAAUGGCUGCAGUAGAAAUUGCUUGAAAAUCUGGCUUCAAAUUCCACAGGGAAGACAAUGUAC
rnacentral:lncRNA from 1 species